rnacentral:piRNA from 1 species
UCCAUUCACAGCUGCGACUGAACAAUUGU